rnacentral:rRNA from 1 species
CGUAGGGUGCAAGCGUUAAUCGGAAUUACUGGGCGUAAAGCGUGCGCAGGCGGUUUUGUAAGUCUGUUGUGAAAUCCCCGGGCUCAACCUGGGAAUGGCAAUGGAGACUGCAAGGCUAGAGUUUGGCAGAGGGGGGUAGAAUUCCACGUGUAGCAGUGAAAUGCGUAGAUAUGUGGAGGAACACCGAUGGCGAAGGCAGCCCCCUGGGUCAAAACUGACGCUCAUGCACGAAAGCGUGGGGAGCAAACAGGAUUAGAUACCCUGGUAGUCCACGCCCUAAACGAUGUCUACUAGUUGUCGGGUCUUAAUUGACUUGGUAACGCAGCUAACGCGUGAAGUAGACCGCCUGGGGGAGUACGGUCGCAAGAUUA